rnacentral:rRNA from 1 species
ACGAACGCUGCCGGCGUGCUUAACACAUGCAAGUCGAACGAAAAGACGAAAAGAGCUUGCUCUUUCCGGAAUUAAGUGCCAACCGGGUGAGUAACACGUAACCACCCUCUUUCAGAAUGGGGCCACCAGACGGAACCGACUUGUUAAUCCGAAUAAGUUCCAAACGGCAUGGCCCAUGAAAGAAAAGGUGGCCUCUACCUGUAAGCUAUCGCCUGAAGAGGGGUUUGCGUCUGAUUAGCUGGUUGGAGGGGUAACGGCCCACCAAGGCGACGAUCAGUAGCCGGUCUGAGAGGAUGAACGGCCACACUGGAACUGAGACACGGUCCAGACUCCUACGGGAGGCAGCAGUGGGGAAUCUUCCGCAAUGGGCGAAAGCCUGACGGAGCAACGCCGCGUGAGUGAUGACGGCCUUCGGGUUGUAAAACUCUGUGAUCCGGGACGAAAGGGCAGAGUGCGAAGAACAAACUGCAUUGACGGUACCGGAAAAGCAAGCCCGGU